rnacentral:rRNA from 1 species
UACGUAGGGUGCAAGCGUUAAUCGGAAUUACUGGGCGUAAAGCGUGCGCAGGCGGUUGUGUAAGACAGAUGUGAAAUCCCCGGGCUCAACCUGGGAACUGCAUUUGUGACUGCACAGCUGGAGUGCGGCAGAGGGGGAUGGGAAUUCCGCGUGUAGCAGUGAAAUGCGUAGAUAUGCGGAGGAACACCGAUGGCGAAGGCAAUCCCCUGGGCCUGCACUGGACGCUCAUGCACGAAAGCGUGGGGAGCAAACAGG